rnacentral:piRNA from 1 species
UGGAAUUUCGUUGUGUCGUCAGU